rnacentral:rRNA from 1 species
GAGGCAUGUGUCUUAGGCAAAUCCGGGACACUCUAUGCUGAGAACUGAGACGAACCUGUACUUGUACGGGGAAGUGAUAGAUGCCAUGCUUCCAAGAAAAGCUCCUAAGCUUCAGUCAGUAAGGGAUCGUACCCGAAACCGACACAGGUGGUCAGGUCGAGAAGACCAAGGCGCUUGAGAGAACUCUGGUGAAGGAACUAGGCAAAAUAGUACCGUAACUUCGGGAGAAGGUACGCUGUUGAGGGUUAAGGAUUUACUCCGUAAGCCUUCGGCAGCCUCAGAAACUAGGCCGCUGCAACUGUUUAUUAAAAACAUAGCACUCUGCAAACACGAAAGUGGACGUAUAGGGUGUGAUGCCUGCCCGGUGCUGGAAGGUUAAUUGAUGGGGUUAGCUAACGCGAAGCUCUUGAUCGAAGCCCCAGUAAACGGCGGCCGUAACUAUAACGGUCCUAAGGUAGCGAAAUUCCUUGUCGGGUAAGUUCCGACCUGCACGAAUGGCAUAAUGAUGGCGGCGCUGUCUCCACCAGAGACUCAGUGAAAUCGAAAUCGCGGUGAAGAUGCCGUGUACCCGCGGCUAGGCGGAAAGACCCCGUGAACCUUUACUGCAGCUUUGCACUGAACUUUGAUCUUACCUGUGUAGGAUAGGUGGGAGGCUUUGAAGCUCGGACGCUAGUUCGAGUGGAGCCAUCCUUGAAAUACCACCCUGGUAAUAUUGAGGUUCUAACCCAGGUCCGUUAUCCGGAUCGGGGACAGUGUAUGGUGGGUAGUUUGACUGGGGCGGUCUCCUCCUAAAGAGUAACGGAGGAGUACGAAGGUGCGCUCAGCGUGGUCGGAAAUCACGCGUAGAGUAUAAAGGCAAAAGCGCGCUUAACUGCGAGACCGACAAGUCGAGCAGGUACGAAAGUAGGUCUUAGUGAUCCGGUGGUUCUGUAUGGAAGGGCCAUCGCUCAACGGAUAAAAGGUACUCUGGGGAUAACAGGCUGAUACCGCCCAAGAGUUCAUAUCGACGGCGGUGUUUGGCACCUCGAUGUCGGCUCAUCUCAUCCUGGGGCUGAAGCAGGUCCCAAGGGUAUGGCUGUUCGCCAUUUAAAGAGGUACGCGAGCUGGGUUUAGAACGUCGUGAGACAGUUCGGUCCCUAUCUACCGUGGGCGUUGGAGACUUGAGAGGAUCUGCUUCUAGUACGAGAGGACCGAAGUGGACGAACCUCUGGUGUUCCGGUUGUCACGCCAGUGGCACUGCCGGGUAGCUAUGUUCGGAAGGGAUAACCGCUGAAAGCAUCUAAGCGGGAAGCCUACCUCAAGAUAAGGUCUCCCUGAGGGUUUAACCCUCCUAAAGAGCCGUUAGAGACCAUGACGUUGAUAGGUUCGGUGUGGAAGUGCAGCGAUGCAUGAAGCUAACGAAUACUAA